UACGUAGGGGGCAAGCGUUGUCCGGAAUCAUUGGGCGUAAAGAGCGUGUAGGCGGCCCGGUAAGUCCGCUGUGAAAGUCGGGGGCUCAACCCUCGAAAGCCGGUGGAUACUGUCGGGCUAGAGUGCGGAAGAGGCGAGUGGAAUUCCUGGUGUAGCGGUGAAAUGCGACAGAGUAUCAGGAGGAACGACCGAUUGUCGAAGGCAGACUCGCUGGGACGUGAACUGACGCUGAGACGCGAAAGCGUGGGGAGCAAACAGG
rnacentral:rRNA from 1 species